GGUGUAUGACAUCACAAUGGUGCAUGUGUGCAGGAGUGUAUGGAAAAAUGAUCUCAUGGCAAGAUAGGAAACUAGAAACCGGGGAGAAGGGGUCAGUCUUGGAUGUUGUGUAAUGACCCCUUCUUGUGGGAACUGAUCAGAGCCUCUACAUUGAUCUGAGUGUGAUGCCCCCAGUGACCUAAUCACGUUCCACUGGACCCCACCUCUUGAAGAUCCCACCACCUCCCAGCAUUGCCUCACUGAGAAUCAAACGUGUCUCAUUGGAGGGGACAAACUACACCAAAGCAUAGUGGAGAGUGUUGGUGUAGAGUGAGAAGGACUUGGAACAUCACCUGGAAGGACAAAGCAGCUCCCAUAAAGCCAUGCGCCACCUAUGUGCAACUCAGGAGACCUUCUCACUACCUCACCAGGUUCAGAGAGUCAACAGAGUGGGUGUGUGUGGACUUGGGACUCAGACUUCUGGGUUUAAAUAUUUUCUCUGCCACUUUCACCAAGAAGUUACAGAUUUUUGAAGCCUUUGCUUACCUACAAAAAUGUUUGUAAAAGGCACUUAAUGUUUAGUGGUUCCAGGAUUAAAUGAGGAAGUAUGUGAAACAGUCGAAAAUAAAAAUGCAGUGAAUUAUUGUUGGUUCUCAACAAUGUUUGAAUAAAUAUUUCCAUAGUCUUCAUGUGGAUAGUUAGACUAGCUAUUUACCAUAUAUCCAAUAAAAUUGGC
rnacentral:lncRNA from 1 species